rnacentral:rRNA from 1 species
AGAGUUUGAUCAUGGCUCAGAUUGAACGCUGGCGGCAGGCCUAACACAUGCAAGUCGAGCGGUAGCACAGAGAGCUUGCUCUCGGGUGACGAGCGGCGGACGGGUGAGUAAUGUCUGGGAAACUGCCUGAUGGAGGGGGAUAACUACUGGAAACGGUAGCUAAUACCGCAUAACGUCGCAAGACCAAAGUGGGGGACCUUCGGGCCUCAUGCCAUCAGAUGUGCCCAGAUGGGAUUAGCUAGUAGGUGGGGUAACGGCUCACCUAGGCGACGAUCCCUAGCUGGUCUGAGAGGAUGACCAGCCACACUGGAACUGAGACACGGUCCAGACUCCUACGGGAGGCAGCAGUGGGGAAUAUUGCACAAUGGGCGCAAGCCUGAUGCAGCCAUGCCGCGUGUGUGAAGAAGGCCUUCGGGUUGUAAAGCACUUUCAGCGGGGAGGAAGGCGGUGAGGUUAAUAACCUCAUCGAUUGACGUUACCCGCAGAAGAAGCACCGGCUAACUCCGUGCCAGCAGCCGCGGUAAUACGGAGGGUGCAAGCGUUAAUCGGAAUUACUGGGCGUAAAGCGCACGCAGGCGGUCUGUCAAGUCGGAUGUGAAAUCCCCGGGCUUAACCUGGGAACUGCAUUCGAAACUGGCAGGCUAGAGUCUUGUAGAGGGGGGUAGAAUUCCAGGUGUAGCGGUGAAAUGCGUAGAGAUCUGGAGGAAUACCGGUGGCGAAGGCGGCCCCCUGGACAAAGACUGACGCUCAGGUGCGAAAGCGUGGGGAGCAAACAGGAUUAGAUACCCUGGUAGUCCACGCCGUAAACGAUGUCGAUUUGGAGGUUGUGCCCUUGAGGCGUGGCUUCCGGAGCUAACGCGUUAAAUCGACCGCCUGGGGAGUACGGCCGCAAGGUUAAAACUCAAAUGAAUUGACGGGGGCCCGCACAAGCGGUGGAGCAUGUGGUUUAAUUCGAUGCAACGCGAAGAACCUUACCUGGUCUUGACAUCCACAGAACUUAGCAGAGAUGCUUUGGUGCCUUCGGGAACUGUGAGACAGGUGCUGCAUGGCUGUCGUCAGCUCGUGUUGUGAAAUGUUGGGUUAAGUCCCGCAACGAGCGCAACCCUUAUCCUUUGUUGCCAGCGGUUAGGCCGGGAACUCAAAGGAGACUGCCAGUGAUAAACUGGAGGAAGGUGGGGAUGACGUCAAGUCAUCAUGGCCCUUACGACCAGGGCUACACACGUGCUACAAUGGCAUAUACAAAGAGAAGCGACCUCGCGAGAGCAAGCGGACCUCAUAAAGUAUGUCGUAGUCCGGAUUGGAGUCUGCAACUCGACUCCAUGAAGUCGGAAUCGCUAGUAAUCGUAGAUCAGAAUGCUACGGUGAAUACGUUCCCGGGCCUUGUACACACCGCCCGUCACACCAUGGGAGUGGGUUGCAAAAGAAGUAGGUAGCUUAACCUUCGGGAGGGCGCUUACCACUUUGUGAUUCAUGACUGGGGUGAAGUCGUAACAAGGUAACCGUAGGGGAACCUGCGGUUGGAUCACCU